GGUACGUCCCUGCCCUUUGUCUACACCUCCAGUCGAUACCACCGAUUGAAUGGCUUAGUGGGGUCUUCCGAUCGGAGUUAGGUGAGUGGCAAUCUUCGAUACUUGAAGAGCCGUUGAUCAAACUACGUCAUCCAGCGGUCGUACUCGUCGUUACAAGGAGUCCGUAUGUGAACCUACUGAAGUAUCAUUAUACUCUUUUAAUAUAUAUAAAUUCAUUAUAUAUAUCCAAUUACUUACAAAAUGUAUUCAAAACCCACACUCCUUAUAACCAUAAAAAAAUUUAUAUUAUUAUUUAUAAUAUAAAAAACCAAACUCCUUUCAACAACGGAUACCUUGGCUCUCGCAUCGAUUACGAACGCAACGCCAUGCGGACAGUAAUGUGAAUUGCAGAUUUACGUGAACUAUCGAAUAGUCGAAUGCAUAUUGAUCUCACUGGUGAUCCGGGGCGUCUGCCUGUUAGAGGGUCAGAACAUGAUAAUUAUCAUAAUCUUUUUUGAUUGUGGAAUUGGGCCUUUAUUUCAUUUUAAUGAUUUAUGGCCUCACCUUUAUGAUACCGCUUGUCCAAUAUGAACGUCGACCGCAUCGAGCAAAUCAACAUUU
rnacentral:rRNA from 1 species